AAUGAACGUUGGCGGCGUGGAUUAGGCAUGCAAGUCGUACGGGCCGCAAGGCCAGUGGCGCAAGGGUGAGUAAGGCGACGGCAACCAACCCCGGGAUUGGGUAUAGCCGCGGGAAACCGCGGGUAAUCCCCAGCGACGCCGUAGAGGGGCAUCCCUUUACGGCCAAAGUUCCGGCGUCCCGGGACGGGCCGUCGUGGUAUUAGCUUGUUGGCGGGGUAACGGCCCACCAAGGCUGUGAUGCCUACCGGGCGUGCGAGCGUGGCCCGGCACACUGGGACUGAGACACUGCCCAGACUCCUACGGGAGGCUGCAGUCGAGAAUCUUCGGCAAUGGGCGCAAGCCUGACCGAGCGACGCCGCGUGGAGGACGAAGGCCUCGGUU
rnacentral:rRNA from 1 species